AGAGUUUGAUCCUGGCUCAGAUUGAACGCUGGCGGCAUGCCUAACACAUGCAAGUCGAACGGAAACGAUGGGAGCUUGCUCCCAGGCGUCGAGUGGCGGACGGGUGAGUAAUACUUAGGAAUCUACCCAGUAGCGGGGGACAACUCGAGGAAACUCGAGCUAAUACCGCAUACGCCCUACGGGGGAAAGCGGAGGACUCUUCGGAGCUUCGCACUAUUGGAUGAGCCUAAGUCGGAUUAGCUUGUUGGUGAGGUAAAGGCUCACCAAGGCAACGAUCCGUAGCUGGUCUGAGAGGACGAUCAGCCACACUGGGACUGAGACACGGCCCAGACUCCUACGGGAGGCAGCAGUGGGGAAUAUUGGACAAUGGGGGAAACCCUGAUCCAGCAAUGCCGCGUGUGUGAAGAAGGCCUGCGGGUUGUAAAGCACUUUCAGUAGAGAAGAAAAGCCUAGGGAUAAUACCCCUGGGUCUUGACGUUACCUACAGAAGAAGCUCCGGCUAACUCCGUGCCAGCAGCCGCGGUAAUACGGAGGGAGCGAGCGUUAAUCGGAAUUACUGGGCGUAAAGCGCGCGUAGGCGGCUUUGUAAGUCGGAUGUGAAAGCCCUGGGCUCAACCUGGGAAUUGCAUUCGAUACUGCAUGGCUAGAGUAUGGUAGAGGGAAGUGGAAUUUCCGGUGUAGCGGUGAAAUGCGUAGAUA
rnacentral:rRNA from 1 species